UCUCCGUAGGUGAACCUGCGGAGGGAUCAUUACUGAGUGAGGGUCUCCGGGCCCGACCUCCAACCCUUUUGUGAACCACCUCGUUGCUUCGGGGGGCGACCCUGCCGUUCGGCGCGGCGCCCCCGGAGGUCAUCAAAACCCUGCAUCUCUGCGUCGGAGUCUUAAUGAAUUUAAACAAAACUUUUAACAACGGAUCUCUUGGUUCUGGCAUCGAUGAAGAACGCAGC
rnacentral:misc_RNA from 1 species